rnacentral:rRNA from 1 species
GACGAACGCUGGCGGCGUGCUUAACACAUGCAAGUCGAGCGGAAAGGCCACUUCGGUGGUACUCGAGCGGCGAACGGGUGAGUAACACGUGAGUAAUCUGCCCCUGGCUUUGGGAUAGCCACCGGAAACGGUGAUUAAUACCGGAUACGACCACUUCUCGCAUGGGAUGGUGGUGGAAAGUUUUUUCGGCCAGGGAUGUGCUCGCGGCCUAUCAGCUUGAUGGUGUGGUAAUGGCUCACCAUGGCUUCGACGGGUAGCCGGCCUGAGAGGGUGACCGGUCACACUGGGACUGAGACGCGGCCCAGACUCCUACGGGAGGCAGCAGUGGGGAAUAUUGGACAAUGGGCGGAAGCCUGAUCCAGCAACGCCGCGUGAGGGAUGACGGCCUUCGGGUUGUAAACCUCUUUCAGUACCGACGAAGCGCAAGUGACGGUAGGUACAGAAGAAGCACCGGCCAACUACGUGCCAGCAGCCGCGGUAAUAC